rnacentral:rRNA from 1 species
GCUUGACUGUAGCUUGUAAUUGGGUUCGGGCUUUUUUUGCGCAGCCUAGGUGGGAGGCAACGAUGAUUUUUUUUCCGGAAAAAUUUGAAGCCGUUAGUGAGAGACCACUCUGAAAAGGCUAGAAUCCUAAUAAUGAUCCUUGAAUCAGGACAUUUGACAGUUGCAGGUGGGCAGUUUUACUGGGGCGGUAUUCUCCUAAAAAAGUAGACGGAGGGGUGCAAAGGUUCCCUCAAGCUGGACGGAAAUCAGCUUAAGAGUGUAAAGGCAAAAGGGAGCUUGACUGCAAGACCUACAAGUCGAGCAGGGGCGAAAGCCGGCCUUAGUGAUCCGACGGUACCACGUGGAAGGGCCGUCGCUCAACGGAUAAAAGUUA